UUUAUGGAGAGUUUGAUCCUGGCUCAGAGUGAACGCUGGCGGCGUGCCUAAUACAUGCAAGUCGAACGAUGAAGCUUCUAGCUUGCUAGAAGUGGAUUAGUGGCGCACGGGUGAGUAAGGUAUAGUUAAUCUGCCCUACACAAGAGGACAACAGUUGGAAACGACUGCUAAUACUCUAUACUCCUGCUUAACACAAGUUGAGUAGGGAAAGUUUUUCGGUGUAGGAUGAGACUAUAUAGUAUCAGCUAGUUGGUAAGGUAAUGGCUUACCAAGGCUAUGACGCUUAACUGGUCUGAGAGGAUGAUCAGUCACACUGGAACUGAGACACGGUCCAGACUCCUACGGGAGGCAGCAGUAGGGAAUAUUGCGCAAUGGGGGAAACCCUGACGCAGCAACGCCGCGUGGAGGAUGACACUUUUCGGAGCGUAAACUCCUUUUCUUAGGGAAGAAUUCUGACGGUACCUAAGGAAUAAGCACCG
rnacentral:rRNA from 1 species